ensembl:lncRNA
CAAAGAGUGAAGCUAGCCGGAUGCUUAAGGAAUCAACCGAGGCAGAUUAUCGACAUGGCAACAUCUUUCAAGUCACACAAGGUGAUGGCAGACACAGAGUUGAUUACCAUUGGCAGGAAGGUAACACACCUACCCAGUUUAUUUGGAGUUGCUGUUGCUGCCUGCCUCUUUAGUUCAUAUCAAGGGAACUAAUUGAAUGUGUGCGUGCGUGUGUCUGUGCGUGCGUGUCUGUGUGUGCGUGUCUGUGUGUACAGGUGUCAAACCCCCGUAUCGGGGUGGAGUCGUUGCUAGUGACGGUCAUCAGAAAAGCGCCAGCCCAGCAGAAGGCAGGGAGAGCCAGAGUCUGGCCGGGGAAGUGCUUCAGACUCUAGACAGAGAAGGCCUACAAGACUAUAAAUUUGGAAAUUCCUCGUGGGGGAGAGCUGCGCGUAAUCGGAGUGCUACUUGGGAGCGUUCCUGGUGGACGGACCAGCGCAGAACCGUCUCCACGCUUGAAAGUGACAAAGCGGGUCCCUGCCACACUGGCCGGUAGCGACUUGCUGUCUGGAUUGUAUACUGGAUUGGGAUGACUCCUCUUUGGUGUAGGGUUGAUCUAUUGCAGUGUUUUUUUUUCUGUGGAUUCUAUAUGUGGGGCGUGGUUUAAGUAUUGCAAACUGAUAAUACCUUUUGGGGAGAAGGCAUGUAUCUUGCUUUUGUGUGGACAUUGUGUGGGGGUUUUCAUGUUCGACAUGGUUGGCCAUUAGUGGGGUUUAUGCCUAUUGCCUAG